rnacentral:rRNA from 1 species
GGAGUCUAGCAUGUGCGCGAGUCAUUGGGACCGCAAAGCGAAACCUAAAGGCGAAAUGAAAGUGAAAGCGGACCUCGCGUCCGCCUAGGGAGGAUGGGUCGUCGCUACGUCGCGGCCUCGCACUCCCGGGGCGUCUCGUUCUCAGUCGCGCUCGUCGCGUUCUCGAGAUGAGGCGCACCCAGAGCGUACACGCUGGGACCCGAAAGAUGGUGAACUAUGCCUGGUCAGGACGAAGUCAGGGGAAACCCUGAUGGAGGUCCGUAGCGAUUCUGACGUGCAAAUCGAUCGUAAGAACUGGGUAUAGGGGCGAAAGACUAAUCGAACCAUCUAGUAGCUGGUUCCCUCCGAAGUUUCCCUCAGGAUAGCUGGCGCUCAUUGAAGUGCUAGAAAUAGUUAAGAGAGCGAGUCUCAUCCGGUAAAGCGAAUGAUUAGAGGCAUUGGGGUCGAAACGGCCUCAACCUAUUCUCAAACUUUAAAUGGGUGAGAUCUCCGGCUUGCUUGAAACGUGAAGCCGCGAGAUCGGAUCAGAGUGCCAAGUGGGCCAUUUUUGGUAAGCAGAACUGGCGCUGUGGGAUGAACCAAACGUCGAGUUAAAGCGCCUAAAUCGACGCUUAUGGGAUACCAUGAAAGGCGUUGGUAACUUAAGACAGCAGGACGGUGGCCAUGGAA